rnacentral:piRNA from 1 species
UGCAAAGGUUGAAGAGACCAUCUUGUGAUGC